rnacentral:rRNA from 1 species
AAUCAAGCGCGAGAAGGGCGUUUGGUGAAUGCCUUGGCAGCAAGAGGCGAUGAAGGACGUGAUACUCUGCGAUAAGCUUGGGGGAGCCGAGAAUAGGCUUUGAUCCCAGGAUCUCCGAAUGGGGCAACCCACCUGAAUGUUUAUUGUUGUCCUGCCACUUCGUUACUUGAGGACCUGUGUCCGAGAGAGCGUGUGGUGGGUUCAUCAAUAAGCAGAAACAGGUACUUCUUACCUGAAUACAUAGGGUUUGAAGAGCGAACCCGGGGAACUGAAACAUCUAAGUACCCGGAGGAAAGGACAUCAACAGAUACUCCCCUAGUAGCGGCGAGCGAACGGGGACCAGCCGAGCCGUGAAUGUGACCAGAACAAUCUGGAAAGGUUGACCAUAGUGGGUGACAGUCCCGUAUGGGAAGCAUGAUCGGACGUAUUAAGUAGGGCGGGACACGUGAAAUCCUGUCUGAAGAUCGGGGGACCACCCUCGAAGGCUAAGUACUCCUUGCUGACCGAUAGCGAACCAGUACCGUGAGGGAAAGGUGAAAAGCACCCCGACGAGGGGAGUGAAACAGUACCUGAAACCGAACGCCUACAAUCAGUCGGAGCCCCCUUGCGGGGUGACGGCGUACCUUUUGUAUAAUGGGUCAUCGACUUGGUCUCACGAGCAAGCUUAAGCCGAUAGGUGUAGGCGCAGCGAAAGCGAGUCUUAAUAGGGCGUAUGAGUUCGUGGGAUCAGACCCGAAACCGAGUGAUCUAGGCAUGGCCAGGCUGAAGGUUGGGUAACACCAACUGGAGGGCCGAACCCACAUCCGUUGAAAAGGAUCGGGAUGAGCUGUGCCUAGGGGUGAAAGGCCAAUCAAACUCGGAGAUAGCUGGUUCUCCGCGAAAUCUAUUUAGGUAGAGCGUCAUCCGAAUACCCCGGGGGGUAGAGCACUGGAUGGGUAAUGGGGCCCCACAGGCUUACUGAUCCUAACCAAACUCCGAAUACCCGGGAGUACUAGAUGGCAGACACACGGCGGAUGCUAACGUCCGUCGUGGAGAGGGAAACAACCCUGACCCUCAGCUAAGGCCCCCAAUUCAUGGCUAAGUGGGAAAGCAGGUGAGACGGCCAAAACAACCAGGAGGUUGGCUUAGAAGCAGCCAUCCUUUAAAGAUAGCGUAACAGCUCACUGGUCUAAAUAAGCUGUCUUGCGGCGAAGAUGUAACGGGGCUCAAGCCAUGAGCCGAAGCUAGGGAUGCACAUAGUGCAUGGUAGCGGAGCGUAGUGUGACAUAGAGUCUUUUCUGUGAAGCCGGGGCGUGAGCCAUCCGGUGGAGAGAUCACUAGCGAGAAUGAUGACAUGAGUAGCGACAAAGAGUGUGAGAGACACUCUCGCCGAAAGUCCAAGGGUUCCUGCUUAAAGCUAAUCUGAGCAGGGUAAGCCGGCCCCUAAGCCGAGGCAGAAAUGCGUAGGCGAUGGGAACCAGGUUAAUAUUCCUGGGCCAGGAGAUGGUGACGGAUUGCAGGGGUAGUCAGGCCUUAUCGGAUUGGUCUGGCUGCUGAGCAGUUCCUGGAAAUAGCCCUCCACAGGACCGUACCCUAAACCGACACAGGUGGACUGGUAGAGAAUACCAAGGCGCUUGAGAGAACGAUGUUGAAGGAACUCGGCAAAAUACCUCCGUAAGUUCGCGAGAAGGAGGCCCGGUUUCCAGGCAACUGGAGGCUGGGGGCACAAACCAGGGGGUGGCGACUGUUUACUAAAAACACAGGGCUCUGCGAAGUCGCAAGACGACGUAUAGGGUCUGACGCCUGCCCGGUGCCGGAAGGUUAAAAGGAGGGGUGAGAGCUCCGAAUUGAAGCCCCGGUAAACGGCGGCCGUAACUAUAACGGUCCUAAGGUAGCGAAAUUCCUUGUCGGGUAAGUUCCGACCUGCACGAAUGGCGUAACGACUUCCCCGCUGUCUCCAACAUCGACUCAGCGAAAUUGAAUUGCCUGUCAAGAUGCAGGCUUCCCGCGGUUAGACGGAAAGACCCCGUGCACCUUUACUACAGCUUCGCACUGGCAUCAGGCCAUGCAUGUGCAGGAUAGGUGGUGGGCUUCGAAGCAGGGACGCCAGUUCCUGUGGAGCCUCCCUUGAGAUACCACCCUUGCAUUGCUUGAUGUCUAACCGCGGUCCGUUACCCGGAUCCGGGACCCUGCGUGGCGGGUAGUUUGACUGGGGCGGUCGCCUCCUAAAGAGUAACGGAGGCGCGCGAAGGUUGGCUCAGAGCGGUCGGAAAUCGCUCGUUGAGUGCAAUGGCAGAAGCCAGCCUGACUGCAAGACUGACAAGUCGAGCAGAGACGAAAGUCGGCCAUAGUGAUCCGGUGGUCCCGCGUGGAAGGGCCAUCGCUCAACGGAUAAAAGGUACGCCGGGGAUAACAGGCUGAUACUGCCCAAGAGUCCAUAUCGACGGCAGUGUUUGGCACCUCGAUGUCGGCUCAUCUCAUCCUGGGGCUGGAGCAGGUCCCAAGGGUACGGCUGUUCGCCGUUUAAAGAGGUACGUGAGCUGGGUUUAGAACGUCGUGAGACAGUUCGGUCCCUAUCUGCCGUGGGUGUAGGAUACUUGAGAGGAGUUGCCCCUAGUACGAGAGGACCGGGGUGAACGAUCCACUGGUGGACCUGUUGUCGUGCCAACGGCAGUGCAGGGUAGCUAUGAUCGGAAAGGAUAACCGCUGAAGGCAUCUAAGCGGGAAGCCCCCCUCAAAACAAGGUAUCCCCGAGGGCCGUGGAAGACCACCACGUCGAUAGGCCGGAGGUGUAAGCGCAGCAAUGCGUUCAGCUGACCGGUACUAAUGGCCCGACAGGCUUGAUUUGA